AGUGAACGCUGGCGGUAGGCCUAACACAUGCAAGUCGAACGGCAGCACAGUAAGAGCUUGCUCUUACGGGUGGCGAGUGGCGGACGGGUGAGGAAUACAUCGGAAUCUACUUUUUCGUGGGGGAUAACGUAGGGAAACUUACGCUAAUACCGCAUACGACCUACGGGUGAAAGCAGGGGAUCUUCGUACCUUGCGCGAUUGAAUGAGCCGAUGUCGGAUUAGCUGGUUGGCGGGGUAAAGGCCCACCAAGGCGACGAUCCGUAGCUGGUCUGAGAGGAUGAUCAGCCACACUGGAACUGAGACACGGUCCAGACUCCUACGGGAGGCAGCAGUGGGGAAUAUUGGACAAUGGGCGCAAGCCUGAUCCAGCCAUACCGCGUGGGUGAAGAAGGCCUUCGGGUUGUAAAGCCCUUUUGUUGGGAAAGAAAAGCAGCAGGUUAAUAACCCGCUGUUCUGACGGUACCCAAAGAAUAAGCACCGGCUAACUUCGUG
rnacentral:rRNA from 1 species